AAUGAACGUUGGCGGCGUGGAUUAGGCAUGCAAGUCGUGGGAGAACCCGCAAGGGGGAAACCGGCGGAAGGGAGAGUAAUACGUGGGAAUCUGCCCUUAGACCUGGGAUAGCAGCGGGAAACUGCUGGUAAUACCAGAUAAUGUCUAUGGACCAAAGGUGUGAUUCCGUCUAGGGAUGAGCCCACGUCCUAUUAGCUAGUUGGUAGGGUAAUGGCCUACCAAGGCGAUGAUGGGUAGCGGGUGUGAGAGCAUGACCCGCCUCACUGGGACUGAGACACUGCCCAGACACCUACGGGUGGCUGCAGUCGAGAAUCUUCGGCAAUGGGCGCAAGCCUGACCGAGCGAUGCCGCGUGCGGGAUGAAGGCCUUCGGGUUGUAAACCGCUGUCGAGGGGGAGCAACUUCCGUAGAGUUAUCUUUAUGGAUUGAGUGAUCCCUGGAGGAAGGACGGGCUAAGUUCGUGCCAGCAGCCGCCGCGGUAA
rnacentral:rRNA from 1 species